AUUGAACGCUGGCGGCAGGCUUAACACAUGCAAGUCGAACGAGUGGCGGACGGGUGAGUAAUGCUUGGGGAUCUCGCUUAUGGAGGGGGAUAACUACGGGAAACUGUAGCUAAUACCGCAUACCAUCGGAUGAGCCCAUGUGGGAUUAGGUAGUGGGUGAGGUAACGGCUCACCAGGGCGACGAUCUCUAGCUGGUCUGAGAGGAUGAUCAGCCACACUGGGACUGAGACACGGCCAAGACUCCUACGGGAGGCAGCAGUGGGGAAUAUUGCGCAAUGGGGGCAACCUGACGCAGCCAUGCCGCGUGAAUGAAGAAGGCCUUCGGGUUGUAAAGUACUUUCGGUCGCGAGGCGUUAACUACAGAAGAAGCACCGGCUAACUCCGUGCCAGCAGCCGCGGUAAUUC
rnacentral:rRNA from 1 species